GGAAUGGCCUGGUGGUGAUCUAUUGGAUAGGCUGUCAAGGGACCAGGCUUCAUAUUGCCAAAUCCCAGUAAAAAGUCCUCAAAGCUAGCCCAACCUUUGAAGACUAUAGAGUUGUACUAUUCUAUUUCCGAAAGUAGAAAAAAAAAGCUGUCUACCAAACAGGGUGACUUGUGCAACCUAGCUCUCUUACAAUCCAACACAGGCCUGGAUAGAAGGUGUGCAAUAUCCAAGCUUUCCAUCAAGUGGUUCCCCACUUCUUGAUGCCAAGGUCCAAAAAUCAGGCAAGUCCACUCCAUGUAAGGAUCACCAAAAGCAAGGGCCCCACACCCUUGGCUUAUUAUUAUUAUUUUUAUUUUUCUUACCAAUCUUCAUUGUUUCAAUAUAACGAAGGGUUUCCAUAAUGUUUGACUUGUAUAAUGUAUUUAUCUUUGGUUGUAAGAUGUUUAUUCAAAGUGGAAGUAACUAUAUAGAGUGUAGACUCAGGGGUCCACAAUGCUUACAUGGAUGCAUGAUCAAAGCUGCUCAUCAGUUUUAUCCUUGAAGAAAAAAGGAAGAAAAAUCUAUCCACAUAUUUAUAAAAAAAAUUCUAUAGCUAUUCUCCUCCAUCUACUAGUUACACGUAUUUAUUGGUUCCUUUUAUUUUAUAUCAAAUUUGUUUUUUGGUUAUUUUAUUUUGUAAACUUUUGUCUUUGCAUUGGUAACUGAAGGUGGAGCAUUGGUAACAUAGGGGGGCUUUGCUGCUUCAUAUAGGGAUUGAUAUGGACUUCAUUCGGGUGGUGCUGACAAAGGUCCUCUAUAUGACAUAAGUUCUGGUUCUUGGGGUGCAUUUGAGAAGUCUCGCCUCGGGCGUCGUUGAAGUCCGUUGAUUUUUAUUUUUUUCCUUCUGCUUUUCCUUGUGUCUUAAUCUGUAAAUUUUCUGUCCAUUAUGUAACCUUUCAUUCUCAGGCCCCUGUAAAUGAGGCUGGUUGUAAAUGAUUUAUAGGUUGUGUUUGAAUGCUAAUUUAAGCUUGUAAAGCUCUUUUGAUUUAAAA